rnacentral:lncRNA from 1 species
ACAGAAACUAAAACAGGAAGUACCGGUGCUAAGGUCCAUUCAGCACAAGUCUGACCAUUCGGAAUACAUGCUUCAAGACUGUUUUGAUCACGCGGACUGGGAUAUGUUCCGGGUUGCCUCGGAUAAUAACAUUGAUGUAUACACGGACACGGUGGCUGAGUUUAAAAGGAAGUGUAUAGGGGAUGUUGUUCCCACUGUGACUAUUAAAACCUACUCAAACCAGAAACCGUGGAUAGAUGGCAGCAUUUGUGCUAAACUGGAAGCGCGAAGCACCGCAUUUAACCAUGGCAAGGUGACUGGGAAUAUGGUUGAAUACAAACAGUGUAGUUAUUCCCUCCGUAAGGCAAUCAAACAGGCAAAACGUCAGUACAGAGACAAAGUGGAGUCGCAAUUCAACGGCUCAGACACAAGACGUAUCUGGCAGGGUCCACAGACAAUCACAGAUUACAAAGGGAACACCAGCCACGUCGCGGACACCGAUGUCUUGCUCCCAGACAAGCUAAACACCUUCUUUGCCCGCUUUGAGGAUAACACAGUGCCAUCGACACAGUCCGCUUCCAAGAACAGUGGGCUCCCCUUCGCCGUGGCUGACUCUGCUGUCCCCACUUGCUUCAAGAUGUCCACCAUUGUUCCUGUACACAAGAAAGCGAAGUGAUUAAUUGGACACAAGGGGAGCUGAGGUGUGACCAGGUACCAAAAGGGGGUUGGCAUCAAUCAGAGAGGAGCUGUCAGUGGUGCAGAAGUUCCAGUCCUACACCCAAGAUGCCGACCAGAACUACGACUUUGCCAGCAACAGUGUCGUCCAGCAUCUUGAGCCCGGCGAUGAGAUCUACAUCAAGCUGGACCGGGGAUAAGGCAAGAAGUACAGCACCUUCUCCGGCUUCAUAGUCUACGCCGAUGAACAGAUCAUCUAUUUUACGCUAGGCUAUUCACUUCAUCUGCUAUAUUCUCUCGUUUAGAUUGGUUAACCCGCUGUCGUUUAGAAGACAGGUGGUUAAAGAGAAACUGGGGGACCUUGACACAGAAGUGAACCUUUAAAUUUACACUAUAAUGGAUGUUUAGUUUUACGAGUAAAAAUCUCCAAAUGAUGCAAUGUCCAAUAAAGAAAGUUGAACACGUGGAAACAAGGAAGGUGAUGAGUGAAUGUUUCAUGUGUAUAAGCCAAUAUUAAUGCAGGUUAAACAGGAAUGGUG